rnacentral:rRNA from 1 species
GAGCGGGUGUAGCAAUACAUCAGCGGCAGACGGGUGAGUAACGCGUGGGAACGUACCUUUUGGUCCGGAACAACCCAGGGAAACUUGGGCUAAUACCGGAUAAGCCCUUACGGGGAAAGAUUUAUCGCCGAAAGAUCGGCCCGCGUCUGAUUAGCUAGUUGGUGAGGUAAUGGCUCACCAAGGCGACGAUCAGUAGCUGGUCUGAGAGGAUGAUCAGCCUCACUGGGACUGAGACACGGCCCAGACUCCUACGGGAGGCAGCAGUGGGGAAUAUUGGACAAUGGGCGCAAGCCUGAUCCAGCCAUGCCGCGUGGGUGAUGAAGGCCUUAGGGUUGUAAAGCCCUUUCGGCGGGGAAGAUAAUGACGGUACCCGCAGAAGAAGCCCCGGCUAACUUCGUG